rnacentral:misc_RNA from 1 species
GAAAUGCGAUACGUAAUGCGAAUUGCAGAACUCAGUGAAUCAUCAAAUCUUUGAACGCAAAUAGCGCUCCCGGGAUAGGCCUGGGAGCAGCCUCUUUGACUGUCGAUUCAAUCAAACUCAGCGACCUGCGCGAAUUCAUUUUUGUAGUGGGCGCAGCUGAAUAUUGAGUGUCUCACGUGAGUGAGUCACUUUAAGCGGAGCGAGUCUCCUUUCUUCUAGCACCGGUGAAAGCUAUCAAAAGGCAUUGCUGCCUCGGCUUCCGAUCCGUCUAGCGCAUUCUUCUUGGCAUUUUCGCAAAAACAGGGAUGAGCCGGACACUAAAGC